rnacentral:lncRNA from 1 species
AAAGGAAAAUGACCUCUCAUUGAGCGCACUGAAUCUUAGUCUAAGUCCAUUCCCUUUGUAGACCUUAAUGCAUGCAUCGCUGCAUUUUUGACUCAAGUAAAAACAUUGGUGUUGAUCUCACUCCUUCACAAAGCUUCUAUAAGAGUUCUUGGAUAUUUUUCAACCAUACCUCAUUCUUUUGACCACUCUUUAUUUUUCCCAUCUGAGAAUCACUAUCAAAUAUCUUUUGAUUCAAUUUUUAGCUCUGAAUUCCUAAACAAAAAAUUGCUCAAAAUACCAAGCCCAAAAACCCCAGAAUAUUUGUUCCCGUAUUCUCUACAUCCGCUGCACCAGUUUGAGAUGAAGCAAACACCAGGCCUAAGCGUUCUAAGAUGGGACUUUGAAAAAGAGAGAAACUUGGAUGCGUUACUUUAUACUUUGUUGGAUCCAGUAGAUUAAUCUGAGAACGUUCUUCCUGCCAAGUCAACAAGUGAAAAGGCAAAAAA